AUUGAACGCUGGCGGCAGGCCUAACACAUGCAAGUCGAACGAGUGGCGGACGGGUGAGUAAUGUCUGGGAAACUGCCUGAUGGAGGGGGAUAACUACUGGAAACGGUAGCUAAUACCGCAUACCAUCAGAUGUGCCCAGAUGGGAUUAGCUAGUGGGUGGGGUAAUGGCUCACCUAGGCGACGAUCCCUAGCUGGUCUGAGAGGAUGACCAGCCACACGGGAACUGAGACACGGUCCAGACUCCUACGGGAGGCAGCAGUGGGGAAUAUUCGGCAAUGGACGAAAGCCUGAUGCAGCAAUGCCGCGUGAAUGAAGAAGGCUUUCGGGUCGUAAAGCUCUUUUGUCAGGGAGGCGGUAUCUAACGAAAAAGCAACGGCUAACUCCGUGCCAGCAGCCGCGGUAAUUC
rnacentral:rRNA from 1 species